UCCCUGGUGGCCUAGUGGUUAAGGGUCUGGCAUUGUCACUGCUGUGGUGCAGGUUUGAUCUCUGACCUGGGGAC
rfam:Sus scrofa chromosome 8.